rnacentral:rRNA from 1 species
AAUGAACGCUGGCGGCGUGCCUAAUACAUGCAAGUCGAGCGAAUUGACAGAGGUGCUUGCACCUCUCGAUUUUAGCGGCGGACGGGUGAGUAACACGUGGGUAACCUACCUAUAAGACUGGGAUAACUUCGGGAAACCGGAGCCAAUACCGGAUAAUAUUUAGCUUCGCAUGAAGCAAUAGUGAAAGACGGUUCUGCUGUCACUUAUAGAUGGACCUGCGGUGUAUUAGCUAGUUGGUGAGGUAACGGCUCACCAAGGCAACGAUACAUAGCCGACCUGAGAGGGUGAUCGGCCAAACUGGGACUGAGACACGGCCCAGACUCCUACGGGAGGCAGCAGUAGGGAAUCUUCCGCAAUGGACGAAAGUCUGACGGAGCAACGCCGCGUGAGUGAAGAAGGUUUUCGGAUCGUAAAACUCUGUUGUAAGGGAAGAACAAGUACGUUAGUAACUGAACGUACCUUGACGGUACCUUACCAGAAAGCCACGGCUAACUACGUGCCAGCCGCCGCUGUAACAC